AUUGAACGCUGGCGGCAGGCCUAACACAUGCAAGUCGAACGAGUGGCGGACGGGUGAGUAAUGUCUGGGAGACUGCCUGCUGGAGGGGGAUCACUACUGGAAACGGUAGCUAAUAACGCAUACACUCAGAUCUGCCCAGAUGGGAUUAGCUUGUUGGUGGGGUAACGGCUAACCAAGGCGACGAUCCCUAGCUGGUCUGAGAGGAUGACCAGCAAAACUGGAACGGAGACACGGUCCAGACCCCUACGGGAGGCAGAAGUGGGGAAUAUUGCACAAUGGGCGCAAGCCUGAUGAAGCCAUGCCGCGUGUAUGAAGAAGUACUUCGGGUUGUAAAGUACUUUCAGCGGGGAGGCGUUACCCGCAGAAGAAGCACCGGCUAACUCCGUGCCAGCAGCCGCGGUAAUAC
rnacentral:rRNA from 1 species